rnacentral:ncRNA from 2 species
UUGAACUUGUCGGAGUGCCAAUUGGCUGAGACCACAUCAAGUGGGAUCCGUUGAACCUGAUCUGGUUAAGACCAGCGAAGGGAACAAGAGAUGCAUCAGA